rnacentral:rRNA from 1 species
UACGGAGGGUGCAAGCGUUAUCCGGAUUCACUGGGUUUAAAGGGUGCGUAGGUGGGUCUGUAAGUCAGUGGUGAAAUCUCCGGGCUUAACCCGGAAACUGCCGUUGAUACUAUCUGUCUUGAAUAUAGUGGAGGUGAGCGGAAUAUGUCAUGUAGCGGUGAAAUGCUUAGAUAUGACAUAGAACACCCAUUGCGAAGGCAGCUCGCUACACUAUCAUUGACACUGAGGCACGAAAGCGUGGGGAUCAAACAGG